rnacentral:rRNA from 1 species
AUUGAACGCUGGCGGCAUGCCUUACACAUGCAAGUCGAACGGCAGCACGGGUGCUUGCCCCUGGUGGCGAGUGGCGAACGGGUGAGUAAUACAUCGGAACAUGUCCUGUAGUGGGGGAUAGCCCGGCGAAAGCCGGAUUAAUACCGCAUACGAUCUACGGAUGAAAGCGGGGGACCUUCGGGCCUCGCGCUAUAGGGUUGGCCGAUGGCUGAUUAGCUAGUUGGUGGGGUAAAGGCCUACCAAGGCGACGAUCAGUAGCUGGUCUGAGAGGACGACCAGCCACACUGGGACGGAGACACGGCCCAGACUCCUACGGGAGGCAGCAGUGGGGAAUUUUGGACAAGGGGCGAAAGCCUGAUCCAGCAAUGCCGCGUGUGUGAAGAAGGCCUUCGGGUGGUAAAGCACUUUUGUCCGGAAAGAAAUCCUUGGCCCUAAUACGGUCGGGGGAUGACGGUACCGGAAGAAUAAGCACCGGCUAACUACGU